rnacentral:rRNA from 1 species
GAUGAACGCUAGCGACAGGCUUAACACAUGCAAGUCGAGGGGCAGCGGGGGUGCAGGCUUGCCUGCACCUGCCGGCGACCGGCGCACGGGUGAGUAACACGUAUGCAACCUGCCCCUGUCAGGGGGACAACCCGCCGAAAGGCGGGCUAAACCCGCGUACAUGCCACCGGGGCAUCCCGGAGGCAGGAAAGGCUUCGGCCGGACAGGGAUGGGCAUGCGGCGCAUUAGGCAGUAGGCGGGGUAACGGCCCACCUAACCGACGAUGCGUAGGGGUUCUGAGAGGAAGGUCCCCCACACUGGUACUGAGACACGGACCAG